rnacentral:sRNA from 1 species
AAGUUAGGCCUGGUGGCUAAGGCCUGUAAUCUCAACCCUUUGGGAGGCCAUGGAGGGAGACUAGCUCGAGCCCAGGAGCUCAAGGCCAGCAUGGGCAACAUAAUGGAAUCCUGUUGCUACAAAAAAUUUAAAAAAAAUAGCUGGAUGUGGUGGUGUGUGCACCUGCAGUCCUAGCUACUGAGGAGGCUGAGGAAGGAGGAUCACUUGAGCCUGGGAGGAUUAUUUAACCAUUCAUAAGUAUGGCAAUGCAGCCAGAAAUGAUCUCUGGAAUACAUUAUCGGAGGCAUUAAAAAGAAAUGGGAAAUAUGUAAAUAUACAAGAAGUAAUGGAUCAGUGGACACUCCAGAUGGGUUAUCCUGUUAUCACCAUCUUGGGAAACACAACAGCAGAAAAUAGAAUAAUAAUUACCCAACAGCAUUUUAUCUAUGAUAUCAGUGCUAAAACUAAAGCACUUAAACUUCAGAAUAACAGUUACCUGUGGCAGAUUCCAUUAACUAUUGUGGUAGGAAAUAGAAGCCAUGUGUCUUCAGAAGCAAUUAUUUGGGUGUCUAACAAAUCAGAGCACCACAGAAUAACUUAUUUGGACAAAGGAAGCUGGCUGCUGGGGAACAUCAAUCAAACUGGCUAUUUUAGAGUCAACUAUGACCUAAGGAACUGGAGAUUAUUAAUUGAUCAAUUAAUCCGGAAUCAUGAGGUUCUUUCUGUCAGUAACCGAGCGGGCUUGAUCGAUGAUGCCUUCAGCCUAGCCAGGGCUGGCUAUUUGCCUCAGAAUAUUCCUCUGGAGAUUAUCAGAUACCUGUCUGAGGAGAAGG